GGCCUAACACAUGCAAGUCGAACGGUAACGCGGGGCAACCUGGCGACGAGUGGCGAACGGGUGAGUAAUGUAUCGGAACGUGCCCAGUAGUGGGGGAUAGCCCGGCGAAAGCCGGAUUAAUACCGUAUACGACCUAAGGGUGAAAGAUUUAUCGCCCCUGGAUGGGCCCGCGUUGGAUUAGCUAGUUGGUGGGGUAAAGGCCUACCAAGGCGACGAUCCAUAGCUGGUCUGAGAGGAUGAUCAGCCACACUGGGACUGAGACACGGCCCAGACUCCUACGGGAGGCAGCAGUAGGGAAUCUUGGACAAUGGGCGAAAGCCUGAUCCAGCCAUGCCGCGUGAGUGAUGAAGGCCUUAGGGUUGUAAAGCUC
rnacentral:rRNA from 1 species